rnacentral:rRNA from 1 species
UACAGAGGGGGCAAGCGUUGUUCGGAAUUACUGGGCGUAAAGGGCGCGUAGGCGGCCUGUUAAGUCGAACGUGAAAUCCCCAGGCUCAACCUGGGAACUGCGUCCGAUACUGGCAGGCUUGAAUCCGGGAGAGGGAUGCGGAAUUCCAGGUGUAGCGGUGAAAUGCGUAGAUAUCUGGAGGAAUACCGGUGGCGAAGGCGGCAUCCUGGACCGACAUUGACGCUGAUGAGCGAAAGCUAGGGGAGCAAACGGG